rnacentral:rRNA from 1 species
UGGGGAAUAUUGCACAAUGGGGGAAACCCUGAUGCAGCGACGCCGCGUGAGUGAAGAAGUAUUUCGGUACGUAAAGCUCUAUCAGCAAGGAAGAUAAUGACGGUACUUGACUAAGAAGCUCCGGCUAAAUACGUGCCAGCAGCCGCGGUAAUACGUAUGGAGCAAGCGUUAUCCGGAUUUACUGGGUGUAAAGGGAGCGUAGACGGCAUGGCAAGUCUGAUGUGAAAGCCCGGGGCUCAACCCCGGAACUGCAUUGGAAACUGUCGUGCUAGAGUGCAGGAGAGGUAAGCGGAAUUCCUAGUGUAGCGGUGAAAUGCGUAGAUAUUAGGAGGAACACCAGUGGCGAAGGCGGCUUACUGGACUGUAACUGACGUUGAGGCUCGAAAGCGUGGGGAGCAAACAGG